rnacentral:lncRNA from 1 species
UUGUUUGUGGCUGUAGGGAUCUCGAGCAGAACACAAGGCACACGAGAACAAACAGAAAAGAAAGAACACCGGAAUUUAACGUGGUUCGGUCUAAUCUGACCGACGUCCGCACGCUGCAACUAGGGUACUUUUAUUUCUUUACAGGUGAUCAGAAUAUUAGGGUGGAGGGAGUUGUUCAAUCACUUUAGGGUGUUUGAGACACCCUUGAGUUAUUCUCUAGCCAAUAAUAUCAUGCCAUGUCAAGUCCCCAUUCCACUCUCCAUUUUGCACUUAAUCACUGACAAUGGUUCAAACACCUGAAGUGGUAAAGAAUUUUUAAAAAAAUUGUGAUGGGUUGAAAAAGGAUGGGCCCACUAUUCACCCUCUCUCUCCCACCUCUCGUCUUCUUCACCGAAUCGGUGAAUACUCACCGCAAACACCACUCCCCACUCACCAAUUGAAGGCCGGCACCCCUUCCCCUGCUCGGCAACCCCCCUCCCCAAUCAAGGAAACAUGUGGCAGGGCAGGGCAGGGCAGGGGAAAUUGAAAGUUGUGGAAGAUGGAAAUUUACCCGAGUGA